rnacentral:rRNA from 1 species
GGAGUGCGCAUGCUUUAACAUGCAGUCGAACGGCAGCACGGGGGCAACCCUGGUGGCGAGUGGCGAACGGGUGAGUAAUGCAUCGGAACGUGCCCAGUAGUGGGGGAUAGCCCGGCGAAAGCCGGAUUAAUACCGCAUACGACCUGAGGGUGAAAGCGGGGGACCGUAAGGCCUCGCGCUAUUGGAGCGGCCGAUGUCAGAUUAGCUAGUUGGUGGGGUAAAGGCUCACCAAGGCGACGAUCUGUAGCUGGUCUGAGAGGACGACCAGCCACACUGGGACUGAGACACGGCCCAGACUCCUACGGGAGGCAGCAGUGGGGAAUUUUGGACAAUGGGCGCAAGCCUGAUCCAGCCAUGCCGCGUGCGGGAAGAAGGCCUUCGGGUUGUAAACCGCUUUUGUCAGGGAAGAAAAGCUCUGGGCUAAUACCUCGGAGUGAUGACGGUACCUGAAGAAUAAGCACCGGCUAACUACGUGCCAGCAGCCGCGGUAAUACGUAGGGUGCAAGCGUUAAUCGGAAUUACUGGGCGUAAAGCGUGCGCAGGCGGUUGUGCAAGACAGA